AUCUGAGGCUCGCAAGUGGCCAGGGACCAAAGGGCAACAGCCAGGGGGUAAAGAGAAGAGAAGGGUCAGAGCAGCAGAUGGGAGAGGAACUGGACCAGGAGAGUUGGAAGCAAGAAAAUGAUCUAUAGGCAAGGAAAGCUCGCCAGGAGGAUUCGAUUCGAGGGCUUCCAGCCUGGGGAUGAGGACAGGGUCUACCUCUGCAGCUUGGCCAACCCCCCUGGUGUUCUGAGUGCUCCAAGGAAGUCCAGGAGCCUGCUCAACCCUUGGUCCCUGACCUGUCAGCCACAAGCCCCAGCAGGACAGGAGUGGAGGUGAAGGCCCGGUGGGUGGCCAGCAAGGCUGGAGCGAAGGUCACGUCAGCCCCUGACGUCCUGGCAUCCAACAGGUGUCUGACCAGGGCCUCCAGAGUGCCAGCGCGAAGCCGUCGGGAGGACCGAGGGGGAGGCAAGGGAGCCUGGAGAACACGGAGCGUGUCUCACUGAGGGUCUCCUCCAUCCCAGGGCUAGAUCCAAGAGAACCCAGAUCUAGCCAUGGUUCAGAAAGGGCAAAGUCCACGGCUCAAGUCACACGACCGAGACCUCCAACCCUGAGCUCUGGCCACUAAAUAAAUAAAUAAUAAAUAAAAUCAAAGAAAGAACUGAGAGGUGAGAAGUCAAAUUCCAGACUCAUGACCUCACCAAGGGAUGAAGAGGCCGAUACUGGCGGCUUGUGACAGUAAAGGUGGCACCAUCCUCCUCCUCAUCCCAGACAGACACAGAAGCCUGGAGAAACAAGAAGAGGAAGUGAGUUCCACAGCACCUCCAGUCCCCAGCCACUGUGCCCAGGCCCUGCUCCUCCCUCUGUACCCCUCACCUGUGAUGGCGGGGGAUAAUACCAGCGAGUGCGAGGGGCAGAGGGUGCUGGUGACCCCAGGUCUACCCACCCUGGGGCUCAGACGACCCCCCAGCCACCUCGGAACUCGGUGGAACGGAAGAGGUAGCAGUGGGGGUUUCAACUGAAUGCAGGAACCCUUCUUCUGGACACCCCCAAAUCCCCUUGCCCCCACAGCUGAGCCCAACACAGCAGAAAAGCAGGGUGCGAAGUCAGGAGCAGAAGCCAGAAGAAGCACAAAGCCAAAGGCAGAGAGACCUGAGGCAGAGAAGCUGAAACUUCAGGCCGUCACAUGCCCCGCCCUCCCUGACAGAACCAGAGGAGCCCAAAUUUAGUCCUUCCGUAUAAAGUCCCUUUCCCCAGGUC